GGGGGGUUAGCUCAGUUGGGAGAGCACGACGUUCGCAACGUCGGGGUCGGGGGUUCAAUUCCCCUACCCUCCACCA
rnacentral:tRNA from 1 species